AUUGAACGCUGGCGGCAUGCCUAACACAUGCAAGUCGAGCGGACGAAGGGAGCUUGCUCCUGGAUUCAGCUGCGGACGGGUGAGUAAUGCCUAGGAAUCUGCCUGGUAGUUGGGGAUAACGUCCGGAAACGGGCGCUAAUAUCGCAUACGUCCAGAGGGAGAAAGUGGGGGAUCUUCGGACCUCACGCUAUCAGAUGAGCCUAGGUCGCAUUAGCUAGUUGGUGUGGUAACGGCCUACCAAGGCGACGAUCCGUAACUGGUCUGAGAGGAUGAUCAGUCACACUGGAACUGAGACACGGUCCAGACUCCUACGGGAGGCAGCAGUGGGGAAUAUUGGACAAUGGGCGAAAGCCUGAUCGAGCAAUGCCGCGUGUGUGAAGAAGGUCUUCGGAUUGUAAAGCUCUUUAAGUUGGGAGGAAGGGCAGUAAGUUAAUCCCUGGAUGUCUUGACGUUACCAACAGAAUAAGCCCCGGCUAACUUCGUG
rnacentral:rRNA from 1 species